rnacentral:rRNA from 1 species
UGGGGAAUUUUGGACAAUGGGCGAAAGCCUGAUCCAGCAAUGCCGCGUGUGUGAAGAAGGCCUUCGGGUUGUAAAGCACUUUUGUCCGGAAAGAAAUCCUUGGCUCUAAUACAGUCGGGGGAUGACGGUACCGGAAGAAUAAGCACCGGCUAACUACGUGCCAGCAGCCGCGGUAAUACGUAGGGUGCAAGCGUUAAUCGGAAUUACUGGGCGUAAAGCGUGCGCAGGCGGUUUGCUAAGACCGAUGUGAAAUCCCCGGGCUCAACCUGGGAACUGCAUUGGUGACUGGCAGGCUAGAGUAUGGCAGAGGGGGUAGAAUUCCACGUGUAGCAGUGAAAUGCGUAGAGAUGUGGAGGAAUACCGAUGGCGAAGGCAGCCCCCUGGGCCAAUACUGACGCUCAUGCACGAAAGCGUGGGGAGCAAACAGGAUUAGAUACCCUGGUAGUCCACGCCCUAAACGAUGUCAACU